GGAUGUGGGUGAUCUGGCUGUGUAGUCUGUCACCCCACUGAUCGCCAGGGCUGAUUUGGCUGAUCUGACUGGCUAGGCGGGUGUCCCCUUCCUCCCUCAUCGCUCCAUGUGUGUCCCUUCCAAAGCUGUGUGCUCGGUCAAAGACGACGACCGUCCCCAAAAGAGGAGGACUGUUUCCUUGGUCAAGGGCAGAUGAGUAGCUGUGCUCCCUGGCUAGAACCUUCCACAAGCUCGCAGGGUCCUACAAGGACCCAGCAGGGCAGACGAUUCUCGGCAGAAGUC
rfam:Fukomys damarensis contig111881, whole genome shotgun sequence.